rnacentral:rRNA from 1 species
UUACCUUGUUACGACUUAUCCUGAGCCAGGAUCAAACUCUGCAGCGGCCGCGGAUCAAGGGC